rnacentral:lncRNA from 1 species
ACCUCACCGAAAAAAUGACAAAUCAUCAAGUCCUUAGCCAGAUGCUUCCCCAGCAAAAUUGUUUCAAGUCACCUCAUCAUCGACAAAGUUGCUUCACCAACAAGAAAGUUAGCUACUUUUUAACUACUUAGCAAGUAAGUUACUUUAGCAUAAAGUAGAUUCACCAGCACGCAAGAUGACUUUACUUCAGCACCAAGUUGCUUCAGCGUCAAGCUACUUCAAGCCCAAGCAAGAUGCUCAUCCCUAGCUUCUAUAAGAAGACCCACAAUGCCAGCAUUGAGGAAUAAGCCUUGGCAAGCCUUGACAUAAGUCUUGGUAGUGCUUCAUGAGCAAUCCAGAAGCCAGUGGCUUCCCUGAAAAUCUUAUUGAAGAUCAUAUGCCAGGUAGAAGUUACAAGCCAGUGAGGGAGUGUUCCACUAAAUAGUUCUUCUUCUUCCUCCUAUCUUAUACCGUUGUAUAUAUUUUUCUCUUAAGUCCUUGUACAAUC